GGUACCCGUGGAGUUAUUCAAAAUACAUCAACCAUAUCCUAGCCCCUAGAGAAUAUAACGAGGCAGACACUCCAGGCUAAAUAAAGUACACCAGUGCAGUAUUAUCGCAUUAUCUAUCAACAGAACGGGUCAUACGACUUCACUGCACCAGGGCAGAGCAAAGUCUAGAUCAACAUUACAACUACCCGACUGGAGUCAGUUGUUACUUGCGCAAGGGUGUGCUUUAGCGGAGACACGCUUACAGAGAGGGACCUCUCCGCAAAGGAAGUAUAUUAAUAUCAUAUAAUAAUCUACAGACGUACGUGCUUGAAGAAUGACUACUGACAAUAUUUAGGUGGUUGGUGAAGGAUCAUAUGUCAUGGCGUCAAAGGCUAGAGUUCUCCAUUGUUGUGUUUGUAAGAAGCCAUACAAAUACAAAGGUGCAGAUCCAUACCUCCUUCCGUGUUUGCAUUCAGCCUGUGCUGAGUGUAUUGGCGCUAAAGGUGAGGCAAUAACAUGCUUGUUCUGCCGAGAGUCAUUUGACAAA